rnacentral:tRNA from 1 species
GGGCCUGUAGCGUAGUGGUUACGCGUCCACUUCAUAAGUGGAUGGUCAUGGGUUCAAUCACAGCCCCG